UUAUUUCCAACUCAAAUUCGAAUUUCUAAACUUAGUUUUGUAAAAAUUCUAUUAAUUUCUUUUAAUUAAUUCUAUAAAAAUUAGACAGCAACUUUUCUAUAUAUCGGAUUAAUUUCCCUCGUAAAAGGGAUGCAAUUUCUACAACUAAAAAUCAUAGCACAGAACGCCCAUCUAGGGUCUCCAAUUAUUCAAUUCAUCUUCCAUGUAAUUAGUCCAAUUAAAAUCUCAUCCUGGAGUCCAAAAAUUAUCUAUUUACCAGUUAAUCUACUUAUAUUCAAUUAAUAAUCCAAAUUAGACAAUUAAAAAUUUACCUAGAUGCAUGAGCGCUAGUCGGCACACUAGCGAUCGUCGAAAUCCGAUCGGGCACCUACUAACUCGUAUUAAGGCGUAGAUCACGUAUUCGAUAUUCGAGCAUCCAUCAAAGCUACUAAUUAUCUAUAUUUGUCUAAUAGUUUUGGACCGUUAUUUUUCUAACAUAGUCUUUGCAAGGUUGGUCUUGUAAAAGCUUGUAAUUAGUAGAGUUUGAUGGUGUAUUCUGAUCAUCCAAACCCAUCAGAGUUGGUCGGGAUCGAUUAAAAACCAAACUGACUUAGUUUUCACUAUCCAACUUGUCUUGUAAAAUAGAUGUUGCUCCUGCCGCCAAAUGGAAGCCCCCGGUGAGACGAGUUUAUUGCAACCAGUUCAAUCCACUGACGUCUCCAAAGGAGGGGGAUCCACCGGUUGGAAGCUCCAAAAUUCGGAACUUGACUCCUCUAUUUGUCGUCGUCCAUCAUUGAUGUUGAUAACUCUUCUACCUCCAGCCCAGCUUUUGGCCUCCCUCUCCUUCUCAAACUUUGGUUGCCAUUAAUGGCAGGCAAGAAAAGAAAGAGGCUUUUCUCUCUUUGAUCUCUCCUCUCU
rnacentral:lncRNA from 1 species